ACCUUCAUUUAUGAAUCCUCCCUUGCAAAUCAAAAUCAUCAGCUGUGUAGUAGUCCGAUAUGAGACGAUACAUAUAUGACGGGUUAUGCCCUCCAAUGUCGGUGAUGAGAAGGCUGACAAGCUCGGGUGCCACAUAAUCAAAACCAGGGUUGACAACUUGAAGAGGAGCCCCACUAUCCAUUCCAAAUUCCAUGCAGUUUGAAAAUAGCCCGAAUUCGAGAAGUUCAGCAGGGGAUCGCAUGUCAUUCAGACAAACCUCUGGAUUGUGUGGAUAAGAAGGGCACAACUUGUGAAUGCCAGCAACUACGACAAAUGGAA
rnacentral:misc_RNA from 1 species